rnacentral:tRNA from 3 species
CGGAGCGUGGCGCAGCUGGAAGCGCGCAUGCCUUGGGCGCAUGAGGCCGCUGGUUCAAAUCCAGUCGCUCCGACCA